UCACACCACAGCAAUGCAGCUUCUGGAAACCCAUUGUGACAGUGCAGGGGGCCUGGAACGUUCCUGUGACUGGCUCUGGUGGGUGAGGCCUGCUGAGGCAUGUAGGUGACCAAGCAGUGCCCCCAAGGUCAGCUAAAGGGAUGGCUUUUAUCAUCCGCUGGUGAAAACUGAUGAACUGGUACUGAAUGUGACUGCGGUACCUCCUGGAAGACCAAGCGUCUCUAACCUGCUCCCGGGUCAGCAGCUCCCGGGCCUUGGAGGCUGCCUCUGAGUGCUCAGCAGGCUCACCCACGGACUUCCUGCUCUCUCAUGCCACCACGCCUUAGUCAAAGACUUUUACAUGCUUCCCUGCUCCUGCUAUUGAACGUGGCUUGGGACUGCUAUGGAGCUCACUCUGGCCCAUUUUUCACCAUCAUGUAACUGACUCAGCCUUUCAAUUUCCACUCCAAAUUCCUCUGCCUGGUGGAUUUCUGUCUCUGUAAUAACUAAAUGUGGCUGGCCAGACUUGGGAGUGGUGGGACAGAAUCAUAAAGAACCCUAGACUGUUCCUCCUAGAGGUGUGGGUAAAGCAGAUUCUCGAAGGAAGGAGAUGUUUGCAAAAUCCGUGGACCUGAGUUAUAAUGACGUGUGCUGCUAAUAGAUGGUAUCAUUUAGCAUGCAAAGUAGUACACUUCCCUAAAUUUCAGUGCUUAUUUCACUCGAUGUGCCAAUCAGCUGCCUCAUUUGGGCUCCUGAAGAACCAGAAUUUUCAGCUCCGCUGGCCUGGAUUCCUUGUCUCGUCAGCACAAUCCUCUGCUGCUCCAGAGUUUGGCUAUUGCGGGAACUCAGCUUCUGUUCAUCUUUCCUGCCCCUGCUCUCAUCAAGCCUGACUUUGUCAUUCAAGUGGAAGAUUUGACUGGCCAGCCAAUUCCAACCUACUAGUGUCCUCCAGCUGUCUAUGGGUGGGACCACUGUCUACAAAGUGACCACAUGCCAGAGCUUAUAGACUGGGGUCCCACCUUUGUCCAGGGAAUGUGGCCCAGCCAACUGUUUUGGGAUGUUUGUGACAACUGUGCAAAUUAUGGCCACUUUUUCCAUAAGAAAUUGUACAUGUGGCCAACACUCAGAGCGUUAUAUCUCUUAAACAGGUUUAGUAGUUCAGUGUUAAAUUAUUUUCUAAUUUUGUAAAAUUGGUAGUGAAUCUUAUAUGUAAACUCUAUUAACUUGAAUUUUAUGUCAGAACACUACCUAUCAUGGGUGUCAGUGGAUACUUAAUAAUUGCUAACUUUAUUAAGUACUUACCAUUGCAAAUAUAUCUCCUUUAAAUUUAACAAGUACUCUGUGAGUAAGAUACUUUUAUCCCCAUUUCACGGGUAAAGAAACUAAGGCUCAGGGAGGUUUAUCAACUUGCCUAAAGUCACAUGAUUAAGUCGUUCAACCAGAAUGUGAACCUAAGUUGGUGAGGUCUCAAAGCCAAGCUCAAGCAUGGACAAUGUAGAGUCUGGGCUGUUAAACCAUCAAUUGUCCCUAAGUAGGAAACAUAUCAGGGUUUUAUGUAAGUUUUAACUUCUUCACAUUUCAGAAUGAGUUUGGAUGUUUUGCAAGUGAAAUCAAGAGUAGCGAGGCUGAAGGAGCCCAUCCUGAACUUGAGCAUUGUCAAUAUUCCUGCUCAUUGCACUGUGAAAGUUUUUCCCCUACCCUUCAUAUUUCUAUUCUCAAAUAUUAGGAAAUGACCCAGAACGCCUCAUCACUGAAAAAGAAUGUGCACCGUGCUGUGACAGAGCUUCCUGCUACGGGGCUUUCAAGAGAGAGUUAACUCAGUGGUGAAGCAAACUUGCCCUUGUGUAAAUAGCUUUUCUGAGGACAGCAUGCUGCGCAAGUGUUACUGUUGCCUUUAUAAAUACAUACAAAAUCAUUGGGAUAAUGAACCUAAAUUUGCUAAACUUAAAGUUUUUUUGCAGAAGAAAAAAUAA
ensembl:lncRNA